UGAACGCUGGCGGCGUGCCUAAUACAUGCACGUCGAGCGAACAGACGAGGAGCUUGCUCCUCUGACGUUAGCGGCGGACGGGUGAGUAACACGUGGAUAACCUACCUAUAAGACUGGGAUAACUUCGGGAAACCGGAGCUAAUACCGGAUAAUAUAUUGAACCGCAUGGUUCAAUAGUGAAAGACGGUUUUGCUGUCACUUAUAGAUGGAUCCGCGCCGCAUUAGCUAGUUGGUAAGGUAACGGCUUACCAAGGCGACGAUGCGUAGCCGACCUGAGAGGGUGAUCGGCCACACUGGAACUGAGACACGGUCCAGACUCCUACGGGAGGCAGCAGUAGGGAAUCUUCCGCAAUGGGCGAAAGCCUGACGGAGCAACGCCGCGUGAGUGAUGAAGGUCUUCGGAUCGUAAAACUCUGUUAUUAGGGAAGAACAAAUGUGUAAGUAACUAUGCACGUCUUGACGGUACCUAAUCAGAAAGCCACGGCUAACUACGU
rnacentral:rRNA from 1 species